rnacentral:rRNA from 1 species
UUGAACGCUGGCGGCAUGCUUUACACAUGCAAGUCGAGCGGCAGCGCGGGGGGCAACCCUGGCGGCGAGCGGCGAACGGGUGAGUAAUACAUCGGAACGUACCCAGGAGUGGGGGAUAGCCCGGCGAAAGCCGGAUUAAUACCGCAUACGAUCUUAGGAUGAAAGUGGGGGACCGCAAGGCCUCACGCUUUUGGAGCGGCCGAUGUCCGAUUAGCUAGUUGGUGGGGUAAAGGCCUACCAAGGCGACGAUCGGUAGCUGGUCUGAGAGGAUGAUCAGCCACACUGGGACUGAGACACGGCCCAGACUCCUACGGGAGGCAGCAGUGGGGAAUUUUGGACAAUGGGGGGAACCCUGAUCCAGCCAUGCCGCGUGCGGGAAGAAGGCCUUCGGUUG